GAAUAUUGGACAAUGGGGGCAACCCUGAUCUAGCCAUGCCGCGUGAGUGACGAAGGCCCUAGGGUCGUAAAGCUCUUUCGCCAGGGAUGAUAAUGACCGUACCUGGUAAAGAAACCCCGGCUAACUCCGUGCCAGCAGCCGCGGUAAUACGGAGGGGGUUAGCGUUGUUCGGAAUUACUGGGCGUAAAGCGCACAUAGGCGGACCGAAAAGUUGGGGGUGAAAUCCCAGGGCUCAACCCUGGAACUGCCUCCAAAACUGCCGGUCUAGAGUUCGAGAGAGGUGAGUGGAAUUCCGAGUGUAGAGGUGAAAUUCGUAGAUAUUCGGAGGAACACCAGUGGCGAAGGCGGCUCACUGGCUCGAUACUGACGCUGAGGUGCGAAAGUGUGGGGAGCAAACAGG
rnacentral:rRNA from 1 species